AGUGAACGCUGGCGGUAGGCCUAACACAUGCAAGUCGAACGGCAGCACAGGAGAGCUUGCUCUCUGGGUGGCGAGUGGCGGACGGGUGAGGAAUACAUCGGAAUCUACUUUGUCGUAGGGGAUAACGCAGGGAAACUUGCGCUAAUACCGCAUACGACCUACGGGUGAAAGCAGGGGAUCUUCGGACCUUGCGCGAUUGAAUGAGCCGAUGUCGGAUUAGCUAGUUGGCGGGGUAAAGGCCCACCAAGGCGACGAUCCGUAGCUGGUCUGAGAGGAUGAUCAGCCACACUGGAACUGAGACACGGUCCAGACUCCUACGGGAGGCAGCAGUGGGGAAUAUUGGACAAUGGGCGCAAGCCUGAUCCAGCCAUACCGCGUGGGUGAAGAAGGCCUUCGGGUUGUAAAGCCCUUUUGUUGGGAAAGAAAAGCAGCCGGUUAAUACCCGGUUGUUCUGACGGUACCCAAAGAAUAAGCACCGGCUAACUUCGUGCCAGCCGCCGCAGUAA
rnacentral:rRNA from 1 species